rnacentral:rRNA from 1 species
UACGUAGGGGGCAAGCGUUGUCCGGAAUUAUUGGGCGUAAAGAGCGCGUAGGCGGUCCGAUAAGUCGACUGUGAAAGUCUAGGGCUCAACCCUGGAAAGCCGGUCGAUACUGUCGGACUAGAGUCCGGAAGAGGCAAGUGGAAUUCCCGGUGUAGCGGUGAAAUGCGCAGAUAUCGGGAGGAACACCGGUGGCGAAGGCGGUUCUCUGGGCCUGACCUGACGCUGAGGAGCGAAAGCGUGGGGAGCGAACAGG